CACAACUACCAGAGCAGUCCCUCUGAAGCCCCAAAGCCAGACCCAGAGGCCUGCCUGGGAGUGGGACUGAGAGCAGUGGCUCUGAGCAGAAGAUGGAGAUGGUCAAGGUAGGGCCCUGGGGCCAGACACCCAAGGUCUUUGGGGGCACCCACUGUGGGUUUUCUUAUUCACCAACAACCCUGUGGUUUAGACCCUGGAUUCUGAGAAGAGAGGUCCCUGAGAGCAAGGAUGUGUAUCCUGGACACUAGAAAAAUGUAUCCCCCUCCAUAAAUUACUAGCUUGAUUUUUCUAGGAUUUGUCACUCUGGCAGAAAAUAUCCAUUCUCCCCGUCUUCUUUAGUUAGGCAGCCUGACUUUAAUUAUGGCAGCCAUGUGCUCAGCGAAAAGACUACAUUUCCAUUAAUUCUAUUCCUGGAGGGCCCAGUGGAGCAGGGCCAUUUGGGACGCCAGGAAGGUAGAAGGAGCACCGCUGCCAGGGCAUGUGGUGUCCCGGAAGAUGGCCAAGGCAGGCUGCCCAGAGUGGAAAGGAUGGCAACACGUGCCAGGCUGGGAUAGUGACUUGAAGAUGAGGAGCCUGGGCUGGGCGGGCCGCAGGCGGCAGGGAAGGCCCCACAUCGAGGGUUGCAAUCUUGUCAUCCAUAACUCUUAUAAGAAUGAGCCCUGGCCUGGAAGAGAGGCCAAAUGUCUAAUCAGCAGGCCUGGAACACCGCCGGUGCCAAGAAAGAGCCAAGCAGCCACUCCCUGGGGCUGGCUGCAGAUGAGGCCCUUGUGGUUUCCCCACUCACUGACUACGGGGAGGAGGGUGUGCAAGGACUUUGUCUGGGAAGAAUCUUUGCAUCUGUAGCUCAACAGGCUUCUCUCUCCAGGCCCCUGGGUUUCAAAAGACUGUGACUUCCACCUUGGUUUGCUCGGUCUGAUGAAGGAACUUUGAGCUGUGAGCUGCACUGUGAACUUUGCUGUGAGCUGCCCUGUGAUGGGAGAGGAGGCCUCCGCCUCACAGCCCUGGAGGACCUCAAUGCUGCCAACGUGUGACCAGAUGCAGAUCCUUCUCCAGUCAAGCCUGGACAUGACAUGACAGCAGCCCUGGGGACCUUGAUGCUGUGGCCUGUGCAAGACCCUGAGCCAGCCGCACCCAGAUCCCUCACCCACAGAAACUGCCAGAUUUUAAGUCUUCUGCUUGUAAGCCACUCUUUUUGCCAUAGUUUGUGUGC
rnacentral:lncRNA from 10 species